AGUGAACGCUGGCGGUAGGCCUAACACAUGCAAGUCGAACGGCAGCACAGUAAGAGCUUGCUCUUACGGGUGGCGAGUGGCGGACGGGUGAGGCAUACAUCGGAAUCUACUUUUUCGUGGGGGCUAACGUAGGGAAACUUACGCUAAUACCGCAUACGACCUACGGGUGAAAGCAGGGGAUCUUCGGACCUUGCGCGAUUGAAUGAGCCGAUGUCGGAUUAGCUAGUUGGCGGGGUAAAGGCCCACCAAGGCGACGAUCCGUAGCUGGCCUGAGAGGAUGAUCAGCCACACUGGAACUGAGACACGGUCCAGACUCCUACGGGAGGCAGCAGUGGGGAAUAUUGGACAAUGGGCGCAAGCCUGAUCCAGCCAUACCGCGUGGGUGAAGAAGGCCUUCGGGUUGUAAAGCCCUUUUGUUGGGAAAGAAAAGCAGCAGGUUAAUACCCCGCUGUUCUGACGGUACCCAAAGAAUAAGCACCGGCUAACUUCGUG
rnacentral:rRNA from 1 species